AUGGAGACAUGGCGUAAGGCCAGAAGGAGACGUGAACUAGAUUCUCGACUUGAACUGAUUUACAUCUCAUUUU
rfam:Chaetura pelagica isolate M959 contig37475, whole genome shotgun sequence.